AUUGAACGCUGGCGGCAGGCCUAACACAUGCAAGUCGAACGAGUGGCGGACGGGUGAGUAAUGUCUGGGAAACUGCCUGAUGGAGGGGGAUAACUGCUGGAAACGGUAGCUAAUACCGCAUACCAUCGGAUGUGCCCAGAUGGGAUUAGCUAGUUGGUGGGGUAAAGGCUGACCUGGGCAACGAUCCCUAGCUGGUGUGAGAGGAUGACCGGCCACACUGGAAAUGAGACACGGCCCAGACUCCUACGGGAGGCAGCAGUGGGGAAUAUUGCACAAUGGGCGAAACCCUGAUGCAGCCAUACCGCGUGGAUGAAGAAGGCCUUCGGGUUGUAAAGUACUUUCAGCGGGGAGGCGUUACCCGCAGAAGAAGCACCGGCUAACGCCGUGCCAGCCGCCGCGGUAAUUC
rnacentral:rRNA from 1 species